UACAGAGGUCUCAAGCGUUGUUCGGAUUCAUUGGGCGUAAAGGGUGCGUAGGUGGCGGGGUAAGUCAGGUGUGAAAUCUCGGGGCUCAACCCCGAAACUGCACUUGAUACUGCCUUGCUCGAGUACUGGAGAGGAGAUUGGAAUUUACGGUGUAGCAGUGAAAUGCGUAGAUAUCGUAAGGAAGACCAGUGGCGAAGGCGAGUUUCUGGACAGUUACUGACGCUGAGGCACGAAGGCCAGGGGAGCAAACGGG
rnacentral:rRNA from 1 species